AUUUUUUGUUGUUGUUUUGUUUUUGUUUUUGUUUUUGAGUCAAUUUUCCAGACAUCUUUAAUUAGCAAUAUGUUUAAGUAGUUACAAGCCUUUCCUUCUUUUCUUGUGACAGUUUGGGUUGAAUUUCUAUCGUUUGCAGCCUGUCACUGUAAGGCACAAACAUGAUCACGCAAGAUGCGAUAGUAGAUUUAAGCCAGUUGUUUUUAAGUUUGUGUUUAAGGAGAAACUAACAAUGAAAACGGCCUCGUUGACGGAGGAAAAGUUGGAAUGCAGCCUCUGGUGCUGUUUGAGCGAUCCCUCUCCCCGGGGCCUGGCCGCGCGCUGCUGUGUUCUGGAAGGGCUCAUUGUACAGUCAAGGCGGCAGGAAUCCUCUUCAUCUUUCUCACCAAUAUGUUUUGUGGACUCUGACGAGCCAAAUCUGACAUCAGUUCUGGAACAUCUAGAAGAUACUAAGAACAACCAUUCAGUGAAGAGAGAAGCCAAGCUAUUUUCUCUUUUCCUCAUGAACAUUAUAUUUAGAAAUUAAAUGUUAAGAGAUAAUAUGAUAUAAUGUUAAGAGAUAAUAUGAUAUAAAAGCAUGAUUAAUGACUAUAAUCUUAGAGGAAUUAAAGUCUGGGUAUUUUAA
ensembl:lncRNA UBE2Q2P13 UBE2Q2 pseudogene 13